rnacentral:rRNA from 1 species
GUAGGUGGCAAGCGUUGUCCGGAAUUAUUGGGCGUAAAGCGCGCGCAGGCGGUCCUUUAAGUCUGAUGUGAAAGCCCACGGGCUCAACCGUGGAGGGUCAUUGGAAACUGGGGGACUUGAGUACAGAAGAGGAAAGCGGAAUUCCAAGUGUAGCGGUGAAAUGCGUAGAGAUUUGGAGGAACACCAGUGGCGAAGGCGGCUUUCUGGUCUGUAACUGACGCUGAGGCGCGAAAGCGUGGGGAGCAAACAGGAUUAGAUACCCUGGUAGUCCACGCCGUAAACGAUGAGUGCUAAGUGUUAGGGGGUUUCUGCCCCUUAGUGCUGCAGCUAACGCAUUAAGCACUCCGCCUGGGGAGUACGGCCGCAAAGGCUG